rnacentral:lncRNA from 1 species
CCACAUUUAAAACAAAUAUCCAUAUUGAAUUCAAUAUCCCUUAAUCUAACUACACAAUUUCACAUUCAUUUCUCAUAAAGCAUUUAACCACUUUUAAUACAAUAAAAUCACUCAUUACAUUCAAUUUCAACCAUUCUAAUUCCAUAGCAUUUAACCAAUUUUAAUACAAUUCAAUUUCCCAUACAUUCAAUUUCAAAUUUGCAACAUUUCUUACAAUCAUUUAAAUCCUACAUUACCACAAUCUUGAAUCCUAAAAUUGCAUAGAGAUCAAAAGCAUUCCAAAAAUCCAUAAAUUCUGGGUUAGCUCAUGCACUCCAAACGGUCCAAGCAAGCCAUUCAUAAGGCAUAACAGUCCAUUAGCCGCACAUCUCAUUCACCUUCAUUUCAAGCUUAAUCAAAACCAGAUGAAAAGCCGAAACAGCAACGAACCAAAGUCGGAAUCUUGGAUUUUUACCCACGGUGCAAUGCAGCCCAACGGAAUCACUUCACCAAAACCAGGAACAAAACUACAAUCUGAAAUGGAAAAGCCACGAUGUUGCAAUACAAAAUGCAGGCCACGUAAGCUACAACGCAAGCUAGGGCGAAGCAAAACGAAAACAACAAUCAAUACGCAACAACAAAUCAAAAACAGCUCCAAUAGCAUAAAGGAGAAAACCUGCAAAAAGAGAAACAACAGAAAGUCACUCUCCAACUAACAAGAACCUUCCAAAAAGCUAGAUCCUAACUGUGAUAAUGGAUGGUGAUAACGAACUAUGAUAACGGAAAUCACAAUGACUAACUUUCGACGCUUACCCUUUAAUCCCUUUUGGAACUCCUAACUUCUUUAACCUCUAAGAUCAUCCGUAACCACUGCUUCAAUAAAACUUCUUGCACAAGAGAAAACAAAACACACCAGAGUCGGUUAACUUUACAACAGAAGUUUAUAACAUAAUUUUUCUAACCAUUUUCCACACCUGAAGCCAAUCUUAACUGAACCAAAAAACCAACAGAAAUAGAGGCCAAUUGAUAACAACCUAAUAGAACCAACAAACAGAAUUAACCAAAAUUCUAACUGUCCAACAAACUUCAAAAUUAAUAUAACAGAAAACCCAAAACAAAAAUAAUAAGAAAUAGAGAAAAAACCUAUAAUGAGAUCAUCGCGACUUCAUCUUCGAACCACUAUUCAAGAACCGACAUCAAGAACUUCCAGUUGAACCAAAACUCUACAACUCCUAACCAACUUUCCAACAAACCUUCUCCAAUCCCCAUAAUAGAAGGAACCUUCAAAUAACUUCCAUAAACUCCAUCUGCUUUCAUAACAAAACUUUCUUUCAAAAAAUUCUCAACCAACCGAUAUAACAGAAUAACCCCUAUAACUGUUUAUAACUAACUGGCUAACAGGACCCUUCAACCGACUCUCUUCCUCCAAUUUCUAGCGAACCCUUCACUUAACCAAACAUGAAAAAAAACUCUAAAAACCUGGAAGCAUUCUUCAAAAAAAGAAAACCCUUAUAACAGGAAGGCUCUCCUGUGAUCUUCAAGGAGUUUUUUCAUUCACAACACCAAACCCACACAGAACCUGCAACUUGCAUAAGAGAACCAACUUCACUCCAUCUCCAUUUUCAGAACGGACCCUCCUUUCAACCUCUUCAUCACCCUCCACCGUCUCACAAUCUCUUGACAAAAACCUUUCCAUCAUUCGUUCAACAUCUUCAACCCUCAACUGUUCUAACCACCAAAAACCCUUAACUGCAACAACCUCGCCACGAUUCAACGUUUGAUUCCUACCACAAUCCUUCGAUAACCCUCCCUGAACAUACAACUCCAUCUCUAAACCACCCUUCAUCACUCGCAACAAACUGAACAUAGCGACAUCAACAACCAGAGGAAAACAGAAUCAAGAAAU